rnacentral:lncRNA from 10 species
GUGGAGUUGAGUUACAGCACCAAGAGCACCCUGGGCUAUAAGGGAACUAGAAUGCAGUUGUUAGCAGCAGCGAAUCUGCAUGGGUCUGCAGCAACCUCAAGUCUCCUCAGAAGAAAGAAUUUGACCAAGGGGCAUAAGGCAGAAGGAGAGACCCGGGCAAGCUUCAGAGCAAGAGUGGAAGUUUAUUAAAAAGCUUCAGAGCAGGAAUGAAAGAAAAGUACACUUGGAAGAGAGCCAAACAGGUAAAACCUCAUUAACGUAACUGCAACAAUGAAGACAUUACCUAAAGUUCUGAUCUGUGUUUGGUGCUGUGGGGGAAUUAGAAGUGAGUCAUGUGGUCCCUGACCUCAAAGGACUCCAGCACGCAUCCCAUCAAUCUGCAGAAGGAGAGGACAGACUGCAAAAAUGGGACGAGCCUCGGGGCUGGACACAAGUGGCUGGGAAACGUCCGCAGCAGGUCUCAUUCCCCGGGAGGCGAGGAUGAAAAUUACAGGUGACACAUGGGUCAAUGGCCUGUCUCCUGACUCAAGACACACAAGGAAGAGACUCUUUGAAGCCUCAGGAGCAGACACUCAAUUGGAUAGCGCCUGGGAUUUGAAGGUCUGCCAUAGAGUCCGAAGAGAGGGGGAAAACACACGCAAACCACCCAAUCACAGGGACCCCUGUGGCUCCUCACCCACCCUCCACCCUCCACCUUCCACUUAUUCCACUCCUCUCGAUUGUCAAUUAAAAUAAACAGCCUUGUAUUCC